rnacentral:rRNA from 1 species
UCUCAAAUCAGGUAGACUACCCGCUGAACUUAAGCAUAUCAAUAAGCGGAGGAAAAGAAACUAACAAGGAUUCCCCUAGUAACGGCGAGUGAAGCGGGAAGAGCUCAAAUUUAAAAUCUGGCGGUGUAUUCCGUCCGAGUUGUAGUCUAGAGAAGCAUCAUCCGUGCCGGACCAUGUACAAGUCUCUUGGAACAGAGCGUCAUAGAGGGUGAGAAUCCCGUCCUUGACAUGGACUCCCGGUGCUUUGUGUUGAGCUCUCAACGAGUCGAGUUGUUUGGGAAUGCAGCUCAAAAUGGGUGGUAAAUUCCAUCUAAAGCUAAAUAUUGGCGAGAGACCGAUAGCGAACAAGUACCGUGAGGGAAAGAUGAAAAGCACUUUGGAGAGAGAGUUAAACAGUACGUGAAAUUGUUGAAAUGGAAACGAUUGAAGUCAGUCGCGUUCUCUGGGAUUCAGCCUUGCUUCUGCUUGGUGCAUUUCCUAGUCUACGGGCCAGCAUGGAUUUCGACCGUUGGAAAAGGGCUGGGGGAAUGUGGCACCUUCGGGUGUGUUAUAGCCCCUUGUCGCAUGCAUCGGUUGGGAUCGAGGACCUCAGUGCACGCUUCGGUUGUGCUUUGAUGCUGGCGUAAU